rnacentral:rRNA from 1 species
UACGUAGGUGGCAAGCGUUGUCCGGAUUUACUGGGCGUAAAGGGCGCGUAGGCGGCAAUUCAAGUCAGCUGUGAAAUCUCCGAGCUUAACUCGGAACGGUCAGCUGAUACUGCUGUGCUAGAGUGCAGAAGGGGCAAUCGGAAUUCUUGGUGUAGCGGUGAAAUGCGUAGAUAUCAAGAGGAACACCUGAGGUGAAGACGGGUUGCUGGGCUGACACUGACGCUGAGGCGCGAAAGCUAGGGUAGCAAACGGG